GAAAGUUUUCUUCAUCUGGAACUAGCCUAUGUUCAUACCCUGAGGAGGGUAGGGAGAAAAGUUUGCUUUUCUUAAUCCAAUUCGCUCACAUGGCAUUUUUCUACAUCAAAGAGCCAUCCACCCCUGUUUUCCAUCUUUAGCCCCACCAAAACAACAUUUCCGAGGCUUUGAAAUUCUAGUAGUUCCUUAGUGUGCACUUCAGCAGAUUCACUCCCUGCCCUUCCCAACUCUACUGAUGACAACAGAAGGUCCCAUAUCCAGUGGAGCUUCCUCGGGGCACGUGCUCUGUGACUUCUUCUUUUCACUCCAGCGCACUGUGAAUGAGGGGGAUUUGGUCUUUGCCUGUUGGAUGGCCAGGAAAUAACAGCUUUGAAGAGGCUGCUCAAGGUGGUGAGAGAAAGACCUAUAGCCCCUUCCCUGACCCCAAACCACCAUUUUUUGGCUAUUACAAGAUAAUUAAUGAGUGACUUAUUUGUAUGCUGCAUACUAUUUUUUGUUGCUAUACAUUUUAAUUUCCAAUGUUAUUUUGGGUGACUUAAAGGAAGUUACUGGGAAAGAAAGCUUUGGCUUGACAUAUAGAAACUGCUACUUAACCUAUACAGAAUAGGAAUAUGGGCUUUGGAGAGGACAGAACAGGUUUGUCAGAGUGCGAAUUCUCUCACUCAUGAAAGUUAAAAUGUAAUGAAUAAACAUUCUUAAUGGGGAUAAGUGAAUCA
rnacentral:lncRNA from 1 species